rnacentral:rRNA from 1 species
UACGUAGGGAGCAAGCGUUGUCCGGAAUCAUUGGGCGUAAAGCGCGCGUAGGUGGCUUCAUAAGUCCGUUGUGAAAGUCAAAGGCUCAACCUUUGAAAGCCGAUGGAUACUGUGGAGCUAGAGUACGGAAGAGGCGAGUGGAAUUCCUGGUGUAGCGGUGGAAUGCGCAGAUAUCAGGAGGAACACCAAUAGCGAAGGCAGCUCGCUGGGACGGUACUGACACUGAGGCGCGAAAGCGUGGGGAGCGAACAGG